AUGCGACGAACGUUAGCUAUUGCGGUAAUCCUUGCGAUUGCAGCUCUUGUGAAGUGCAAACCGAAGGAGGCAAAGCGUGAUACUCGGACUGCCAGUAGAAAGUUCAUGUCGGGACCGCGUUCCCACAAGGUGACUGAUCCUACGAAGCUAGCGGGUGAAGAUCCGUUCUGCGACCUCAAGGUGGACUGCAGCGGCGCUUCAAACAGAAAUUUCGUGGACGGUAAAGAGUACCGGACUCAGAGUGGACAGUGCAAUAACCUCGACAACUACAAGUGGGGUAUGGCC